CCUCCGCACUGCAAAACAAGGUGAGAACAAAAAUCCCGAAGAAAAAACCGACCCUCAGAGGCUCGGACGCACGUCGCACGUCCCACCAAAUCCCACCCCACGCCCCAUCCCGAAAUCCCAACCAUCUCCAUGUGGAUCUAGAUUCCGUUCGCAAAGAAAUCGCAACAGCCAGCCUCGUCCUUCCUCGAUCGACUCGGCCAAUCCGAUGAGUACCGAUGGCUCCUUCUCUCCUCUCACCCACGACCCUCUCACUUCCUCGCCGCCAACCUCUGCUCCGUUUGCACCAGCCACCCCUUGCUCAGAGACGACUUCAGCUACAGAUAGGGAAGUCGACAACCUCACCGAGGCCCAUGGCGCCGCUACACUUGCCGGAGCCAUGAGCAGGUACCAUGGCGGCCGACCCGCAUGAAGCCCUUACAGCAUCUCGGCGGUGGCUGCGUCGAGGGCGCGGUCGCUGAGCAGACCAACUAACCAAGUACAAGGACAAGGGGAGGGCCAACAACCCGUACAUCAGGAUUUGAUCUCAAAGAUGAGAGUGACAUAGAUGUUGGUACUGCAGCUCCAACAUCUCAAGUUUCAAUCAAGCAUGGUCAUGCCGAUAUGGAGAGCACAAGACCUGAACUAUUAUUUCCAUCUCAUUUUCCAAUAAGGAUGAUCAGGUCUGGUCGUCGUCGUCGAUCUACAGACAUGGUUCAACAACUUCCUCUUCGCUAAGUUAUCUCGGUCAAUGUAUGUUUCAAUAUUGGGUCGUCGAUCCGACAACUAUGUUCAUUUGUUGGAUCAUUUUAGUAGUUAAUCUGAAGUCAGGAUUGAAGUUUCAGUAUAUAGAUACUCUUUACAUUAAGUUAAGACUAAUAUUCUUAAGUCAGGGUUAUUUAAUAAACGUUUGGUAGUUAUAAGGAUUAAAGUAUACUGGUAAAAAAUACGUUAAGUUGAGAAGAAACACCUGAGACCUCUACCAUUGGAUUUAACUUUGUCUUAAUGUCCAACUUGGCAACAUGUUUAAUCCCUCUAUUACUCCUACUACAACAUGUUGUCCUUUGACAUCGGGUUCUGUAAUUCUGUUACGUGGGGAUUUGGAUCCUGCUGUUCGAAUGUUUGGAGUACAUUAGUACAGUACAUAUGAAUUCGCAACCAAAGUUCAGAAAAAGGAGUCCCAGUACUUCCAUGUUCCAUCCUAAUGUUGUCACACGCAUAGUAGUUGUCACUUCAAUACUUAAUUUGAUGCCAGGAUUCAAGUUUUAGUAUAUACCUAAAGAUAAAAAGUCUUGGUUCAUUUAUUUUUGAUUAAAACUACAUUACCGUUGAAAACAAACUGCUGAGACGUAUGAUUACGCAAAGGAUAAUAGUUGUGUUUUGGGCCAUGGUGAUGAUAUUGUUUGAUUGCAAAAAUGUACUGGUCAGAUAUCAAUUUCAGGCUUACCACAAUACUCCUUAUCUUAAUCACUGAUUAAAUUUCUGAAAUUGGGCUCGCCGUGCUACAUAUUUUUUCAUACAGGUUUUAGGGCUAAGAGAAAUUUGGAGUUCCGGUCCUGUGUUGGUACUUGGUACCUUUCUCAAACCCUCACUGUAUUUGACUCAUCCAUUCCUAACCCCCACCUAUUAUCUUGCUACUUACCAUCAGGUUAUUACACUCUACUUGAUUUGCUAUUUUUUUGUUAUACCUUCUGUAAUUAUGAUCGUAGAUGAAUCUAGGUUUGUAUUAUUUUCCAUCCUAAGAUACAUGUUCUAUCGGUUGUUCUUCUAGAUUGUUAGUAAAUUGUGAUAUAUGACUUCCUAUGUCACAACAAUGAAACAUAGAUGUAUAUGGUACAUGAAUGGAGGGAUACUAAUGAAUAAUGUAUAUCUUAGUUGGCUA